rnacentral:lncRNA from 10 species
CUUCAGCCUCGGUGACAGAACAAGACUCCAUCUUAAAAAAAAAAAAAUUUUCUUAACAUGGGGUUUAAGCGGUAAUCUAGAGUAGAAAGUGUAUUUUCAGUAGAGACGGAGUUUCACCAUGUUGCUCAGGUUGGUCUUGAACUCCUGGCCUCAAGUGAUCCACCCACCUCAGCCAGUGCAGUGGCACAAUCACGGCUCACUGCAGCCUCGACCUCCUGAGCUCAAGUGAUCCUCCCACCUCUGCCCCCUAGGUAACUGGAACUACAGGUGUGUACCACCACGCCCAGCUAAUUUUUUCUAUUUUUUGUAGAGACAGAGUUUUGCCAUGUUGCCCAGGCUGGUCUUGAAAUCCUGGGCUCAAGUGCUCCUCCUUGGCUUCAAAGUGCUGGGAUUACAGGUAUUGGUCACCACACCCGGCCUGUUUACAUUUUUAAUUUUAACUUGUCAAAGCUGGCUAACACUCAAGAGUAAUACAUGCUGCAGACAGAGGUGAGUCUGAGAUACUCAGGGGAGAGUCCCUGUCAAUUUGUUUCUGUUUUUAACCCUUGCUCCUCCAGACAUCACUUACGUGGCAGAAGUUCUGAAUUAUGGGCUCACA